rnacentral:rRNA from 1 species
UACGUAGGGUGCGAGCGUUAAUCGGAAUUACUGGGCGUAAAGCGUGCGCAGGCGGUUGUGCAAGACAGAUGUGAAAUCCCCGGGCUUAACCUGGGAACUGCAUUUGUGACUGCACAGCUAGAGUACGGCAGAGGGGAUGGAAUUCCGCGUGUAGCAGUGAAAUGCGUAGAUAUGCGGAGGAACACCGAUGGCGAAGGCAGUCCCCUGGGCCUGUACUGACGCUCAUGCACGAAAGCGUGGGAGCAAACAGG